UUUUAAAGUUGGUACCAGUUUUGAAAGCUUGUGACUAUAUCAGCAUGCCUGAUCUCAGAAGCUAAGCCGGAUUAGGCCUGGAUAGAACUUGAAUGAGAGACUGCCUGGAAAUAUGAGGCACUGUAAACU
rnacentral:rRNA from 1 species